rnacentral:lncRNA from 1 species
GUGCCUCUCACUAAGGAUCUCCUUUGUUCCUCUCUAGAGGAGGAGAAGAGGAAACACACACAAAAAAAGGCACCUGGCGCAGAGCCCCAAUUCUGACUUCAUGUAUGUGAAAUGCCCAGGGUGCUAUGAAAGCACCACGGUCUUUAGCCAUGCACAAACGGUAGUCUUGUGUGUUGGCUCCACUGUCCUCUCUCAGCCCACAGAUAGAAAAGCAAGGCUGACAGAAGGAUGCUCCUCCAAGAGGAAGCAGCACUAA